GGUGAUUUCUCUCAGCGCACAGCCAUAUUUUAUUGGGGAGAGGAGAGCGAACUUCAAGUUUCCAAGUGUGUCCAAGAAUGCACUUUUAGGACAAUCUUCCGUUGUUUGGUAGCACCUUGUUUGCCUGGCAUCUUAAGGGAGUGUUAAGAGGAAGCUUUCACCUUUAUCUCUGUAUCUGAACUCAUCCUCCUUUCAAGGAAGAAGGAGUAGUAGCUCAUCUGACCUGAGAGAACAGUUCACCCUUUUGGAAGGUGGAGGUAAUUUCCCGCAAAAGCAGGCUCCACCCCAGCCUCUGUCUUUGAAAACCUGCUGCCUCCUCCAGUUCUAACAGAAGGACCCCACUCUCCGCUACUUCCUGCUUCUGAGAUAGUUUAAAGUUUUUGGAAAGCUCCAUGCUUAGCUGGUUCCUGACCCAAGGAAGAUUUGGGUUCUGCUUCGGUUAUGGAUGAAAGAGAAAGACAUGGAGAGCUGACACUCCUGGGGAGUCCAGAUAAGAAAAAUACCAAGGAAGAGCCUAAUCUGGUUUUACUUUGUUCAAAGUAAAAGUCUCAAGAUCUGUGACAUAUAUAUCACCCUAAAACCAAAUUGAAAUAAACGUUACCUAC